GUUCAGACGUAUUAGAAUGUGUGA
rnacentral:siRNA from 1 species